rnacentral:rRNA from 1 species
CACCACGAGAGUUUGUAACACCCGAAGUCGGUGGGGUAACCUUUUUGGAGCCAGCCGCCUAAGGUGGGACAGAUGAUUGGGGUGAAGUCGUAACAAGGUAGCCGUAUCGGAAGGUGCGGCUGGAUCACCUCCUUUCUAUGGAGA